rnacentral:tRNA from 1 species
GCGAGCUAGAUCAGAGGCUUACCUGUGCUUCCCAAGCUGAAUGUCGUCGGUUCGAUCCCGAUCGCCCGCUCCA